UAGUAACGGCGAGUGAAGAGGGAAAAGCUCAAAUUUUGAAUCUGGUGUCUUUGACUCCCGAGUUGUAAUCUAGAGAAGUGUUUUCCGCGUUGGACCGUGUACAAGUUCCCUGGAACGGGGCGUCAUAGAGGGUGAGAAUCCCGUAUAUGCCACGGACUACCAAUGCUCUGUGAUACACUCUCAACGAGUCGAGUUGUUUGGGAAUGCGGCUCAAAAUGGGUGGUAAAUUCCAUCUAAAGCUAAAUAUUGGCGAGAGACCGAUAGCGAACAAGUACCGUGAGGGAAAGAUGAAAAGCACUUUGGAAAGAGAGUGAAACAGUACGUGAAAUUGUUGAAAGGGAAGCGUUUGAAGUCAGUCACGUCUGUCGGAAUUCAGCCUGGCUUCUGCCUGGUGUACUUUCCGUCUGACGGGUCAGCAUCAAUUUCGACCGAGGGAAAAAGACGUGAGGAAUGUGGCUGUCUUCGGGCAGUGUUAUAGACUCGCGUUGUAUGUCUCGGUUGGGAUUGAGGAACGCAGCGCGCCUAUUGGCCGGGGGUUCGCGCCCCUCGGUACGCGCUUAGGA
rnacentral:rRNA from 1 species